AUCCAGCUGAUGAGUCCAAAAUAGGACGAAACGUGCGUCCUGGAU
rfam:Schistosoma curassoni strain Dakar, Senegal genome assembly, scaffold: SCTD_scaffold0000033